UACAGAGGUCUCAAGCGUUGUUCGGAUUCAUUGGGCGUAAAGGGUGCGUAGGCGGGUCUUUAAGUCAGGGGUGAAAUCCUGGAGCUCAACUCCAGAACUGCCUUUGAUACUGAAGAUCUUGAGUUCGGGAGAGGUGAGUGGAACUGCGAGUGUAGAGGUGAAAUUCGUAGAUAUUCGGAAGAACACCAGUGGCGAAGGCGACUUACUGGACACAUAUUGACGCUGAGGUGCGAAAGCGUGGGGAGCAAACAGG
rnacentral:rRNA from 1 species